GUGUCAGCAGCCGCGGUAAUACGUAGGUGGCAAGCGUUAUCCGGAAUUAUUGGGCGUAAAGGGUGCGUAGGCGGUUUAUUAAGUCUAUGGUGAAAGUGCGGGGCUCAACCCCGUAUGGCCAUAGAAACUGAUAGACUAGAGUGCAGGAGAGGGCAAUGGAAUUCCAUGUGUAGCGGUAAAAUGCGUAGAUAUAUGGAGGAACACCAGUGGCGAAGGCGGUUGCCUGGCCUGUAACUGACGCUGAAGCACGAAAGCGUGGGGAGCAAAUAGGAUUAGAAACCCGCGUAGUCC
rnacentral:rRNA from 1 species